rnacentral:rRNA from 1 species
GAUUCUGGCUCAGGAUGAACGCUGGCGGCGUGCCUAAUACAUGCAAGUCGUACGCUAAACUCGGUUAGAGUGGCGAACGGGUGAGUAACACGUAGGUAACCUGCCCAUAAGACGAGGAUAACUACUGGAAACGGUAGCUAAUACUGGAUAGUAUAUAGAAUCGCAUGAUUUUAUAUUUAAAGAUGCGUUUGCAUCACUUAUGGAUGGACCUGCGGCGCAUUAGCUAGCUGGUGAGAUAAUGGCCCACCAAGGCGACGAUGCGUAGCCGGACUGAGAGGUUGAACGGCCACAUUGGGACUGAGACACGGCCCAGACUCCUACGGGAGGCAGCAGUAGGGAAUUUUCGGCAAUGGACGCAAGUCUGACCGAGCAACGCCGCGUGAGUGAUGAAGUUCUUCGGAACGUAAAAUUCUUUUAUUUGGAAAAAACGUAUAGUGUAGGAAAUGACAUUAUAGUGAUGGUACCAAAUGAAUAAGCCCCGGCUAACUAUGUGCCAGCCGCGGC